rnacentral:tRNA from 1 species
GGGCGCAUAGCUCAGUUGGUUAGAGCGCUUGCCUUACAAGCAAGAUGUCGUUGGUUCGAGUCCGACUGUGCCCACCA